UCCCUGGUGGCUCUGUGGUAAAGCAUUCACUGCCAGUGCAGGGGACACAGGUUCGAUCCCUGACCUGGGAG
rnacentral:tRNA from 1 species